CCGGAGCCCAGCAGGUCAUCAGGCACAUAGAAGGUGCUGGUGGUCUGGGAACGUGAACGUGAGAAGCGUCCUUGUGCCGGGAGCUGUGCUAAGUGCUGGGAGGACACCGACGACUAGGACAGAACACACUCCCUGGCCGCCCAGCGUCCGCUCUGGUGGUCAAGGAGAAAAAGGGAGAGGAACAGUUGAAAGAGACAAGCCUUCAGCAGCGAUAUGCUGCCUGCCUUCUUCAUGAUACUUUCGGUGAAGAUACCCAGACCGCCCUACUCAAGGUGUGACCUGUGAACUCUCUGCCUGGGAAUCUGAAUCCUGAGCAGAGUGAUGCUGAGACAGAAAACAGUGGGUGCAGAUCCAUUCCAACGAGCUUUCUGAGGACGCUGUCCCCCGAUUCCUCCUACCGAGAUCCCCGGAACUGCUCUGGGAUCCUCCUUCCCAGGGCUCCUCAGCAGCUUUCCCUUCGAUUCUAAUUCUGCAUAUCUCGGUGAUCUAAGACUUCAAGUAUUUCCAGUGGAGAAUUGAAGAGAGAGGUCAACUCCUGCCAAGCUCCGAC
rnacentral:lncRNA from 1 species